CUGAACUCUUUGGAUUGUGGAUUUCCAAGAUAUGAGACAGAAAAACAAAACAAAACAAAACCCUAAAUCAGUCAGGAAAUAUUAUUCUUCCAUUGGGAGAAAACAAGGAUUCUUAAAAAACAAACAAACAAACAAACAAAAACAUUGUCAGUUCACUACAACUUAUAGAAUUAUAAAAUAGUUCAAAGACAAUGAAACCUAGAAAAAUGUGCUAAAUUCAAAUCUAUAGGAAAGGCAAUUGAUUAGAAGCAAAAGUGAAUUUUAGUUGUAAUAGAGGUUUAAUUUAAGUUCUAGUAAUUUAAAGAUGAAUUAUUUUGGGCUGUGUGAUCAGAUUCCAAAUCCAAUGGAGAAACAAUCAUUCAACCACCCAAAUCCUGCAGUUUUGGUGAUCAGUAUAAUAUUGCAUGAGUGCUUUGUCUCUAGUUUAAGUUGUUUAAAACAUUUACAAGAACCUGAUAUAUUAAAUUUGUGAUUUUAAGUAAUUAUUUAGCAUAUAAUUAAAGAAGUUUAUAAUCAGUGUUUGAAUAGCUGGGAAAUUUUUUUUUUUUUUUUGAGACGGAGCUUCACUCUGUCGCCCAGGCUGGAGUGCAGUGGCGCUAUCUCGGCUCACUGCAAGCUCCGCCUCCCGGGUUCACAUCAUCCUCCUGCCUCAGCCUCCUGAGUAGCUGGGUCUACAGGUACCCACCACCACGCCUGGCUAAUGUUUUGUUUUGUUUUUUUUUUUGUAUUUUUAGUAGAGAUGGGGUUUCACCGUGUUAGCCAGGAUAGUCUCGAUCUCCUGACCUCGUGAUCCACCCGCCUUGGCCUCCCAAAGUGCUGGGAUUACAGGCGUGAGCCACCGCGCCUGGCCAUAGCUGGGAAAUUUUAAGUUGUUAGAUCUGUUAUUUGGUUUAUCAGUUGUAUGAAUAGUAUAUGAAUGUUUACAGUAACCAUUUAAUAUUUAAAGAAAUAUUAACUGCUUAAUGUAUCAGUCAGGUUUUUGCUGCAAUAUUGACAUAUGAAAAACUCCCAAAUUACUUAUUUUAUAUUCCUGACCUGCAGGUGGGCUGGGGAGGUUCUCCUUCAGUCUGUGAGUUUAGUAUGUUUUACGUGUUUCUAUUCUGGGACCAAUGGUUACCUAGGGUUAUUCUCAUGGCAGAUGGCAGAAGAGUAAGGGAGGAGAAUGGAAAUGUGAUGGCUAAAAAUGGACAUGUUCUCUUUUCCACCCACAUUCCAUUGUCUAAAGCAAGAGAUGUGGCCAAGCCCAACAUCAAAGGAGUAGAAUGACUGGGCAUGGUGGCUCCUGCCUGUAAUCCCAGCACUUUGGAAGGCCAAGGUGGGAGGAUUGCUUGAGCCCAGGAGUUUGAGAUCAGCCUGGGCAAUGUAGGAAGACUCCAUAUCUAAAAUAAAUAAAUAAAUACAUAAAUAAUCAGCCAGGCACGAUGGCAUACGUGUGUACUCCCACUUACUUGGGAGGCUGAGGUGGGAGGAUCACUUGAGCUUGGGAGGCUGAGGCUGCAGUGAACUAUAAUUGAGCCACGCACUCCGGCCUGGGUGACAGAGCAAGACCUUGUCUCAAAAACAAAAACAAAAUAAUCCAAAGGAGUAGAAGGCUUUACCUACAGUGAACCAUGCAAAGGUGGGGAGGGAAAGAAUUGUGAGUAAAUAAUGUAAUCUUCCACUCUUAAUAAAUCUAUGAGAUUAAAAUGUUAGAUAUAUAAGUGCAAAUAGUCACGAUCAUUCUUCAUGCACAAAAGCCUCACAUAAAUGACUUUAUAGCAAAGUUCUGAGUCAUGAAAGAAUCUUUUGUUUUUGGGGUCAAAUGCAAUAUAAUGUGAACUUAUUAUUUAUUUGAGUGUUUUUGUAGCAGGGUUGCAAAAUUACUUGUGAUACAGAAAUUUAGAAGUGAUUUAAUUUCUUUAUUUUGUUUAGAGCUUAUUUAGUCUUGUGACCUGGUAGGUGGUGGGAAAGAAAAACAAAACCAAAAAACACAAAUUAAUCUGGUUUAAAAUGUAUUCUGAUCCAGUCGUUUAAACCACCCCUUAUGUAAUUCUCAGGUUCUCAGACUUCUCCCAUUUUCACCCCUUCAUUGCCUUCCUACCUGGAAGUACGUGGGGGAGGGGUAUAGUUUAUUGUAUUCUUACGAUAUAGGGCGGGAAGAGGGGUCUCUAUGGCCUUAAUCUUGGUUCUUGAGUGUGCAUUGAUUAGUGCCUAUUGAAGUUCACCCAAGUUUUGGCGUUAGACUUCAGUGGCUGCUAAAGUUGUCUAUUUUUUCCUGGUUUAGUCAAGCCCUAGUCACCCUUCCUUGUUGGCUUGGCCUACCUUCAGCUCUCUCUGGCUAGAGACCUUUCUGAAUCUCUCCCUUAUCCAGCCCCCAGUCAGGCUAUUCAUCCUGAAGACUUUUGCUGUGGGAUCAUCUAUCCCAGUGCCACAGCAGGCCCCAUGGCAGGCUUGUGGCUUUCAACUCCGUGUCCAUGUUACAUAGGUACCAAUGUAGGCUUUGGAGUGCACAUUAGGAUCUCUCUCUCUCUCUUUCUCUCCCCCAAGGACCUUAGCGCUCCAUUCUCCUAAUCAUGCCAGGAAAU
rnacentral:lncRNA from 10 species